rnacentral:rRNA from 1 species
AACGAACGCUGGCGGCAUGCCUAACACAUGCAAGUCGAACGAGACCUUCGGGUCUAGUGGCGCACGGGUGCGUCACGCGUGGGAACCUGCCCUUAGGUUCGGAAUAACUCCCCGAAAGGGGUGCUAAUACCGGAUAAUGUCUUCGGACCAAAGAUUUAUCGCCUUUGGAUGGGCCCGCGUUGGAUUAGCUAGUUGGUAGGGUAAAAGCCUACCAAGGCGACGAUCCAUAGCUGGGCUGAGAGGAUGAUCAGCCACACUGGGACUGAGACACGGCCCAGACUCCUACGGGAAGCAGCAGUGGGGAAUAUUGGACAAUGGGCGAAAGCCUGAUCCAGCAAUGCCGCGUGAGUGAUGAAGGCCUUAGGGUUGUAAAGCUCUUUUACCCGGGAUGAUAAUGACAGUACCGGGAGAAUAAGCUCCGGCUAACUCCGUG